UCAGGGAUCAAAAGGGAAAAAAAAAGGGGACUCUUCUUGUUCUAGUGAGCGAACGAACGAAGGAGAAACAUAAAUUUAAAUUGAAAGCCUUAGCUCUCAAACUAAAGAGAGAGGUGGAAGAAGAAGAAGAACGAGAAGAAGAUUGACCAAAGGAAUUCGUACGGAGUAAUUGAGUGGCAAGCUUGGUAACUCAACACAAGUACUAGAAUUCAAGUGGUAUUGAAGAGGAUUCCAUUAACUAGCGUGUGAGUUAGUAGCAUCUGGUGAGCCCCGCAUUGCUUCGCGUGGCAAGAGAACUAUUGAUUUGUUA